rnacentral:rRNA from 1 species
AGCGAACGCUGGCGGCAGGCCUAACACAUGCAAGUCGAACGGACCUUCCGUGCUUACUUGCGGUCUUGUGUUUAACACGUCGGAACGUGCCUUUAGGUUCGGGAUUCUUCAUUUAAACUUGUGCUAAUACCGCAUGUGCCCUUCGGGGAUAAGAUUAAUCGCCUUUAGAUCGGCCCGCGUCCGUUUAGCUCGUUGGUUGAGGUAAUGCCUCACCACGGCUACGAACAGUAUGUGGUCUGAGAGGAGGGUCAGUCACAUUGGAACUAAGACACGGCCCAAAAUCGGACGCAAGAGAGAGGUGGAGAAACUUGCGGAACGGGCGAAAGCCGGACGCAGCCAUGCGGCGUGAAUGAUGAGGGUCUUAGGAUAGUAAAAUGCUUUCACAGGAAACGAUAAUGACGGUACCGGGAGAAGAAGCCCCGGCUAACUUCGUG